UCGGAUGGUGGACAGUGGCGCACGGGUGAGUAACACGUGGGGACCUGCCUGAUAGUAAGGGAUAACAGUUGGAAACGACUGCUAAUACCUUAUACGCCCUUAGGGGGAAAGAUUUAUCGCUAUCAGAUGGACCCGCGCUAGAUUAGAUAGUUGGUGAGGUAAUGGCUCACCAAGUCUACGAUCUAUAGUUGGUUUGAGAAGAUGACCAGCCACAUUGGGACUGAGACACGGCCCAGACUCC
rnacentral:rRNA from 1 species